rnacentral:lncRNA from 1 species
UGUAUGUCUCUGCAUCCGUGCAGGUGCCUUUGCAGGUGGAUUUCCAGGUGCACUAGCUGAUGUGGUGCUGAGAACCAAACUCUGGUCUUCUUCAUACCAUUACGUGCUCUUAACUGCUGACCCAUGUCUCUAGCCUAUACAUUUUAUUUGUUAACAAGCAGGGUGCAUGCAGAGUGUUUGAACCUUUUCUUUUUGUCUUUGUUUUGUUUUUUUUUUUCUUAAUAAAGGCCCAAAUAACUGAAUGUGAUAGUGGGUGCCUGUUGUCCUAGCAUGUGGAAGUUUAAGGCAUAAAUAUUGCUAGUUGGAGGCUAGUCUGAUACAUCAGGACAACCUCUCUAUAAGGAAAAAAAUAAAUCAGUCAAAAUCCAUGGUGAGAUUGAUUGUACAUAUAAUAUAAUUCAGUAUCUGGUAGGGUAGUGCCACAUGCUUCUGUGUGCAAACAUCAUUGGCAGUUCUAACAGAGCUGGGAGAUGCAGCAAAAGAGAAUAUGGGUGUUACAGCUACUGAUGCCCACAUCACAGCGAGAGUGGUGCCAUGGGCUGUGGAGGCAGCUGGGCCUGCAGAUUAGUGUUGACCCACCACUCGCUGGCCCCACAGUUCCGAGUGAGCUACUUACACUGCCACUCCCCUCAGAAGAGAUAGCCUGGGGUCUGCUACACAUUGCAGGGAUUUAAGGUGCGUCCUAGGACACAGAUGUGCUUAAGAAGAUAACAUUUUGUUUACUUAAGCACUGUGACAGCUGUGUGUGAAUGAGCCCUAGAUGUCCACACAGCAAUUUUUUAAUGGUUCUGGGAUAGGACACAUGCCUUUGUGCAUACCGGCCAAGUGCUGUGCUUGUGAGCUCUGCUCCCCCUUAAUAUAUAAAGAAGUCCAUUAUUUAUCUGUGGUGUAAGGACCACGGCCUUCCUGUGUAAUGUGUACACGGUGCCAUUGUUUCCAUAUUACUACAGCUGAUAGGAAAUGUUCAUAGGAGAAGCAGAAUAUUUCACAAUUAUGCUUGAAGUGGUGCCCGAGAGACUGCCCAUUCAGUCCUGGGUUCAGAAUGUGGCACCACAAAUAAACCAAAAGGAAGUGUUAUAAUGAACCACCGUGUAGAAUCCUAGGCUGAAAGUUUUUGAGGAAAGAAUGUAGCUAUCUAAAUUAUCCUUUUAUUUCCACUGGUAUUUAAAUUAUCGUGUGUGUGUGUGUGUGUGUGUGUGUAUGCGUGUGUGUAUGCACUCAUGAACGCAUGCACUCAGGUGUGUUCCAUGCUGUUCACGUGGAGGUCAGAGACCAACCUGCAUGAAUAAGCCUCUCCCUCCACCAUGUGGUCCUGGGAAUUGAACUCAGGUCGCCUGGCUAUCAGUAAGUGACCUUACCUGCUAAGCCACGUGGCUGUGCCUCUCCUUGUAUUUUUAAAAGAACCUAAAAAAGGUUGACAAAUAUUUAUUUUACACCAUGCACUAGCCAAACAUCAGUGUCAAUAGGAUUGUCAAUGUCAAUAAGGAUUGCCACUUUUUAGAAAUCUGGCCUUUUCUACCCUAGUUAAGGACAUCUGGAACUUGAGUUGUUCUUCUAUCUCAGUGCUUUCUUUAAAAGGGAAAGGGUCCGAGAAGCCCCCCCCCCACCCCCCCUGCAGCCGGACGCUUCCCUUUAGGGCUUCCUUUCCUCUCUGGCUUUAGGUUUCAGAUUUAAACUGUUAGUCCAGAAGAGGCCAUCCAGGACGUUAUCAUAGCUGUGUCCUUCAGUGUCCUGUGUCUUCCCUCCCACCAGGAGAAUGGCCAGGCUGUUUUCAGAUCUACGUCACGCUGAUGUCACUGCUAGAACUGACCUCCAGCUGAGUGUAGGCACCAGCUUCCUUAGGAAGGUACAGAAACCUCUCUUUCCUCACUGCUCCUAGGCUACCCUUUGGUUUCUGCUAAUACUAUUCUGUAUGGGGAGUAGGAAAACUGGAAAACUCUUGGAGAAAGUAUAAAUCCUUUGGAAGAGAAAUCUGUUAAAAACAGAAUGGACUAUAUAGUUAACAUUUUUUUACAACUUCAACAAAUCCACAUUAUUUUCUAAGUACAGUAUUUAAUUAUUUUGUAGAGCUUGACACUGCUUUCUCUGUGUCAUAGAGGUCCAGAGUCUUUUAUGCUGAAGUUCAUUACAUUCUCAAUAAUGCUUUGGUUGCAGUAUUGAUGGUGACUGCAGGUCGAUAAGUCCUGUUAAUUUAUGUCUCUGUGGAGCAUGCUCAGUGCCACUGAUGUGAGACUUUCACCUUCAGCAUGGAGAAUAAACAUCAACAAAAUCAUUGGUUGUAGACUAGAAACUGUCAGAAGCACCUGUCUGGCUCAAGCCUGGUGUAAAAGUUUGCUAGUUGGAGGAACACUUCCUCAGGGGUUUGCAGUUUGGACUGAAGAACUACCUGAAUGGGUCGCAGACAUGGCAGCUCAGUUUCUAGCACCCAUGCUCAGUAGCUCACAACUGCCUGAAACUCCAGCUUUGGAGAUGGCCUCUGAAGGCAUGUGCCCGCACUUAUGUGUGUGUGUGCUCUCUCACUCACUCUGUCCUCGUCCUCUCUCUCUCUCUCUC